rnacentral:rRNA from 1 species
CACCGCCCGUUGCUCCUACCGAUUGAAUGGUCCGGUGAAGUGUUCGGAUCGCGGCGACGGGGGCGGUUCGCCGCCCCCGACGUCGCGAGAAGUCCAUUGCACCUUAUCAUUUAGAGGAAGGAGAAGUCGUAACAAGGUUUCCGUAGGUGAACCUGCGGAAG